UAGCUGCAACCUAUAAGGUGGUUUCGCAUCCAACUUAAUCUAUAUCUAUUAUCGGCAACUAAAUCACAAGCAGUAGACUCUCGACGGUGAAACUUGGAAUUCCGAUUAUGGCGAUCGCUGGGAAUCGACACCUUGAAAGAAUAUAUGGUAAAGAAGAAUCAUCACUGCUGUUGCUGCUGCUGAAUGAUGAAUGUGUUUGAGAAGAAAGGAGAACACAUCGUUUGGAUUAAUCAAUCAGCUCCUUGUCAAAACGUUGUCGUAUUAUUGUUGUAUUUAUUUAUUUCUCUGUACAUCAGUCAUUCUUUAUUGGCUGAACUUUGUAUAUAUAUUUAUGUUUCAGUAAUGAGAAUCUCAAUGAGCAUUUUCUCCAAACAGCAGUGUU
rnacentral:lncRNA from 1 species